AUACAGGAUCUGGAUCAGAUGGAGAAACAGGCGGAGGAGGCAGGAAGCCAGCAAGAGGUCGUGGCCGUGGCCGACGAGGUCCAAACGUACAGAGCUCCGGUGACCACAAAGCACGCUCGGAGCUGAAAACAAAGGAUCAGAUCAUGAAGCAGCGCAAGAAAAAGCAGAAGCACCAGUUCCUGCAGGGCGGGGGGAUGAGGAAGCUCCGCUCCAAGAACAAAAAGUGGCUCGGAUAAGUUAAAAAGUCAGGUUUUGGAAGGGGUGGCCAUAAGAAAGGCAAGCUGAGGAAGAAACUGGGAGGAGGACAGAGGGUUGAUGGUGUGGAGGACAUCACGAGGAACUGGGUGAUAAGCAUCAGAAUCAUCUGAGAACAUCACCAAAGAUUUUCCUGGCGCUUUGUGUGACUGUAGAUUAAGGAGAAAAUCAUUUGUGAAUCUUUACACUGCAGAAAUGCACGUCACUUCUUCCUUGAUGGCCUGCUGAACUCUGCGUUUGCCACAGAGUUAUGUUUAAUUAUGAUCCACUAACCUGGAUUUACUACUUGUAAGCAUGUUGGCAGUCUAAUAAAAGUGUUUUGGAGUACUGAAAUAUGUCUUAUCAAAAUGGUAAAAUACAGAUAUUAAAUAUUGUGUGCUUAAUUUGCAGUUAGUUUCAAAAAUCGUCUCGCCCAUCUUUUCUUAAAAUAAGAGGUGCUCUAUAAAAAUGACAUUAAAUUCUGUAAACGUGCUCUAUUUGCAAUUAUUUAUCAUUACUGUUGUCCAAGUGGUCUCAUUUCAAAGUUGAAAGCGAGCAUCGGAACGGGCAAGAAAGGCGACUUUUAAUUGACUUUGAAUGUGUUGUGGUUACUGAUAUCAGAUGGGCUGGGUUGAGAAACUGGCUUAGAAUUCCUCUUGCCUUCAGCAUGGCCACGCCCCUCUGACUUCUGCAAUCAACAAGGCAUUUUUACCCAGGGAAAUGUUUAUUUCGCUUUUCAGUUUGGACUGUUCUCUGUAAAUUCCUGAGAAAAUUUGAGAAGAUCAGGAGUGUCUGAAAAACGUAAAACAGCCCAUCUGUCACCAACAGCAAUGCUGCCUUCAAAGUCACUUAAAUCACCCUUUUUUUUUUCUGGCAUGUGAUUGGCUGAUUAGAUAUUUGCAUUCACAAGCAGCUGAAUAGGUUAGUGCAGGGGUCAGCAACCUGCGGCUCUUUAGUCUUUUUAGUGCGGCUCUGCGUGGUUUGGGAAAAUAAAUUAUUUUUUUAAGUAAUUAGCUGAAGUGUAUUUUAUUUAUGUUAGUUCUUUUUUAACUUGUAGUUCUAAAUUGGAAGAUUACUGUGAUAUUGAAAUAUAAAUAUAAAAUUAUAUUCUAUUACAGUUUUUUCUGAAUGCCUAAGCACAUUUUUUGUAACUAUUGGCUAAUUUUGCAAAACUCUUCACACAAAUAAGAAAACCUGUCACCCAAUAAUCAAAACAUUGUAGUUCUCUUGCAAAAGCAAAC
ensembl:lncRNA